rnacentral:misc_RNA from 1 species
UGACAUUCAGAACUUUAAAUUCCACUGUUGUUAAUUUGAAGUGUGUAUUCAAGUUGACUGAUGCAUUGUGGGUAAUAUUUCAAUCUUUAAUUUUUCCCCGACUGGCUUAGUGUGCCAUGGACCAACCUUUUCAUCAUCUGUGAUGUAUUUUAGAAAAACUUGUGGCACUUAUAUCUGAUCAAGUUACUCAUAUAAUCUCAUAAUACAUAGCAACAGAAUAGCUGAACAACACCUUCACCUAUAUGCACCCUUUCAGGUGAGUUCUUAAGAUGAUACCCAGUAAUUCACGUUGGCAUCAAAUUUAUCAAGUUAUAUGGCUGUGGUUAUGAUAAAAUUAAGUGAUUUGAAGAAUGCCUGACUGAAUUUUCAACUGGUUGGACCAACUUUAUAUGAUAACUCUACACUAAAAUCUUCAUUUGGUUGCUGCAAUCUGAUAUGAUUUUUUAGACUGUGAUGCCAUUGUAGCAAUUGCAAUUUUUCUUUCCAUUAUGAUUUUAUGUAUUUCGUGCUGCAUGUCAGCAAGAAAGAAAACAUA